AUGAACGCUGGCGGCGUGCCUAAUACAUGCAAGUCGAGCGAACGGACGAGAAGCUUGCUUCUCUGAUGUUAGCGGCGGACGGGUGAGUAACACGUGGAUAACCUACCUAUAAGACUGGGAUAACUUCGGGAAACCGUAGCUAAUACCGGAUAAUAUUUUGAACCGCAUGGUUCAAAAGUGAAAGACGGUCUUGCUGUCACUUAUAGAUGGAUACGCGCUGCAUUAGCUAGUUGGUAAGGUAACGGCUUACCAAGGCAACGAUGCAUAGCCGACCUGAGAGGGUGAUCGGCCACACUGGAACUGAGACACGGUCCAGACUCCUACGGGAGGCAGCAGUAGGGAAUCUUCCGCAAUGGGCGAAAGCCUGACGAAGCAACGCCGCGUGAGUGAUGAAGGUCUUCGGAUCGUAAAACUCUGUUAUUAGGGAAGAACAUAUGUGUAAGUAACUGUGCACAUCUUGACGGUACCUAAUCAGAAAGCCACGGCUAACUACGUG
rnacentral:rRNA from 1 species